GCAGUCGAGCGAGCAGAACCAGCAGAUUUACUUCGGUAAUGACGCUGGGGACGCGAGCGGCGGAUGGGUGAGUAACACGUGGGGAACCUGCCCCAUAGUCUGGGAUACCACUUGGAAACAGGUGCUAAUACCGGAUAAGAAAGCAGAUCGCAUGAUCAGCUUAUAAAAGGCGGCGUAAGCUGUCGCUAUGGGAUGGCCCCGCGGUGCAUUAGCUAGUUGGUAAGGUAACGGCUUACCAAGGCGAUGAUGCAUAGCCGAGUUGAGAGACUGAUCGGCCACAUUGGGACUGAGACACGGCCCAAACUCCUACGGGAGGCAGCAGUAGGGAAUCUUCCACAAUGGACGCAAGUCUGAUGGAGCAACGCCGCGUGAGUGAAGAAGGUUUUCGGAUCGUAAAGCUCUGUUGUUGGUGAAGAAGGAUAGAGGUAGUAACUGGCCUUUAUUUGACGGUAAUCAACCAGAAAGUCACGGCUAACUACGUGCCAGCAGCCGCGGUAAUACGUAGGUGGCAAGCGUUGUCCGGAUUUAUUGGGCGUAAAGCGAGCGCAGGCGGAAAAAUAAGUCUGAUGUGAAAGCCCUCGGCUUAACCGAGGAACUGCAUCGGAAACUGUUUUUCUUGAGUGCAGAAGAGGAGAGUGGAACUCCAUGUGUAGCGGUGGAAUGCGUAG
rnacentral:rRNA from 1 species